AAGACGAGGAUAACCGUUGGAAACGGAUGGCUAAGACUGGAUAGGAAUACGGAGGCAUCUUCUGUAUUUUAAAAGACCUGGCAACAGGUAUGCUUGAGGAGGGGCCUGCGGCGCAUUAGUUAGUUGGUGAGGUGAUGGCUCACCAAGACGAUGAUGCGUAGCCGGACUGAGAGGUUGAACGGCCACAUUGGGACUGAGAGACGGCCCAAACUCCUACGGGAGGCAGCAGUAGGGAAUUUUCGGCAAUGGGGGAAACCCUGAACCCGAGCAACGCCGCGUGAACGACGAAGUACUUCGGUAUGUAAAGUUCUUUUAAGAGGGAAGAAUGGCCCGUGGAAAAGCGGGCGUGACGGUACCUUUUGAAUAAGCCCCGGCUAACUAUGUGCCAGCAGCGGC
rnacentral:rRNA from 1 species